rnacentral:rRNA from 1 species
AGCGAACGUUAGCGGCGCGCCUAACACAUGCAAGUCGCACGAGAAAGGGAGCAAUCCCCGGUACAGUGGCGCACGGGUGAGUAACACGUAGAUGACCUUCCCUGGAGUGGUGGAUAACCUGCCGAAAGGCGGGCUAAUACAGCAUGGGAUCACAUGGUUUUGACCGAGUGGUGAAAGCGGGCCUCUGUUCACAAGCUCGCGCUCUGGGAUGGGUCUGCGUCCCAUCAGCUAGUUGGUGAGGUAAGAGCUCACCAAGGGCGAAGACGGGUAGCUGGUCUGAGAGGAUGAUCAGCCACACUGGAACUGAGACACGGGUCCAGACUCCUACGGGAGGCAGCAGUGGGGAAUAUUGCGCAAUGGGCGAAAGCCUGACGCAGCCACGCCGCGUGAGCGAUGAAGGCCUCGGUCGUAAGACGUCUGUGGGAGGAGGAAGAAGUAAAGACC